UUCGAGGCGGGAAGAAGCCUGCAGCUUGGUGUGCCAUUUUGUUUUAUUUUUGCGUGGUGUACUGGAAAGACCGAGGGCUAGUGUAAUGCGCGUUCUGCUCGACCGUCCAGCCUAAACCCAGGUGCACGCGUGCGGGUGAAGAGAGCCUGAAGAAGAUGUCAGCAACACCUCCUAUCGCUGUCAUUGGCUGCAACCUUCAAGACGCGAAGUACGCUUGUGGAAAGGCCAUUUCAAGCAACAAUGAACGAUCUUGAAGUUUCUAAUUGAAAUAUUGUUUUUUUGUGGACCUCACCUAAUCUGUAAACUGUGUUAUAUGCAGAUGGUGAGAGAGACCUUAGGCAGUCCCAACCUGCUCUAAUAAAGUAUCACAGGUAGAAUGCACUGAAAUGUGAGAAUGAGACUACCUCGAAUUUCAAACAUUCUGCGUUUUUCCAUAUAUAUGAAAAAUAAAGUUCACCAGCCACUUUAGCCCUAA